rnacentral:rRNA from 1 species
CAGUCGCCGCGGUAAUACGUAGGUGGCAAGCGUUGUCCGGAAUUAUUGGGCGUAAAGGGCUCGCAGGCGGUUUCUUAAGUCUGAUGUGAAAGCCCCCGGCUCAACCGGGGAGGGCCAUUGGAAACUGGGAAACUUGAGUGCAGAAGAGGAGAGUGGAAUUCCACGUGUGGCGGUGAAAUGCGUAGAGAUGUGGAGGAACACCAGUGGCGAAGGCACUCUGCUGGGACGACACUGACACUAAGAGACGAAAGCUAGGGGAGCAAAUGGGAUUAGAUACCCCCGUAGUCCCUGUCUCUAUACA